AUUGAACGCUGGCGGCAUGCUUUACACAUGCAAGUCGAACGGUAGACCCUUUCGGGGGUUGAGAGUGGCGAACGGGUGAGUAAUGCAUCGGAACGUGCCUAGUCGUGGGGGAUAACGUAGCGAAAGUUACGCUAAUACCGCAUACGCACUGAGGUGGAAAGCGGGGGACCGUAAGGCCUCGCGCGAUUGGAGCGGCCGAUGUCGGAUUAGCUAGUUGGUGAGGUAAAGGCUCACCAAGGCGACGAUCCGUAGCGGGUCUGAGAGGAUGAUCCGCCACACUGGGACUGAGACACGGCCCAGACUCCUACGGGAGGCAGCAGUGGGGAAUUUUGGACAAUGGGCGCAAGCCUGAUCCAGCCAUGUUGCGUGCGGGAAGAAGGCCUCGGUUGUAACCGCUUCGGUACGAGAAGAAAUACGACAUGGACGUAAUACUACUGUGUGGAGUGACGGUAC
rnacentral:rRNA from 1 species